GUGAAUGUCGGUUUUUAUAUCACAAUAUAUUGAUUCUCGGCAUCAAUUUGUAUAAUACUUGCCAAAAUUGCCGAUUAAAGUACGUUGUAGAAUCGUUCAGCAACGAACUGCGGACACGAAAACAAAGCGAGAGAGGGAUGUUUACCGGCAUUUGGGGUCACAUGACUUCUCUUUCGGGAGGGAUUGCAGUGCUGCCAGUAAAGAAAAGAAAAAAAAUAUUUUUUUCUUGGUGGCAACACUCAAAUUCGAUAGCGUGUUUAAAAAAUUUUCUGUUUUGAUGAACAGUGUUGCCGUAAAAAAAUUAAUUUACUAAUUCAAUUGUUUGCCAUAACAGAAUUACAAGCAAACUAGUGAUGGUUUAUAAAAUUUUCCGUUAGGUAGAGAAGUAAAUUAGAGAAAUUUAUUAAGUAGCCUAGACGA